rnacentral:rRNA from 1 species
AUUGAACGCUGGCGGCGUGCUUUACACAUGCAAGUCGGACGAGUGGCGAACGGGUGAGUAACGCAUCGGAACGUACCGAGUAAUGGGGGAUAACUGUCCGAAAGGACAGCUAAUACCGCAUAUUAUUCGAGCGGCCGAUGUCUGAUUAGCUGGUUGGCGGGGUAAAGGCCCACCAAGGCGACGAUCAGUAGCGGGUCUGAGAGGAUGAUCCGCCACACUGGGACUGAGACACGGCCCAGACUCCUACGGGAGGCAGCAGUGGGGAAUAUUGCGCAAUGGGGGCAACCCUGACGCAGCCAGGCCGCGUGAAUGAAGAAGGCCUUCGGGUUGUAAAGUUCUUUCGGUAGCGAGGCGUUAACUACAGAAGAAGCACCGGCUAACUCCGUGCCAGCAGCCGCGGUAAUUC